rnacentral:rRNA from 1 species
UACGUAGGGACCGAGCGUUGUCCGGAAUCAUUGGGCGUAAAGAGCGUGUAGGCGGCCAGACAGGUCCACUGUGAAAACUCGAGGCUCAACCUCGAGAGGUCGGUGGAAACCGUCUGGCUAGAGUCCGGAAGAGGAGAGUGGAAUUCCCGGUGUAGCGGUGAAAUGCGCAGAUAUCGGGAAGAACACCCGUGGCGAAGGCGGCUCUCUGGGACGGUACUGACGCUGAGACGCGAAAGCGUGGGGAGCGAACAGG